UAAACAUUUGGGAAACUAACCAAGGAGAGA
rnacentral:piRNA from 1 species